UAUUAAAAUUAACGUUAUUCAGGGAAUACUUAAGGAUGCGGAGGACACGCCAUGGCAAAGAAGACUGGUUGGAUAUUAGGUGGAAAGGGGGAGUUAUGAGCCACCCAGUUCAACAGGAUGGAAGUAGCUGCGGUGUCAUUGUUGUCAAGAUGGCAAAAGCAGUGAUGGAGGCAUUUCCUCAGAUCCCAGAUGUUAAAUUUGAGACAUCCAAAAAGGCCAUGAAAAAGGAGAGGAGAGAUCUGGCUCUCGAAAUCCUAAAGGCAUCAGUCUUUGAUGAGCACACUUGUUGCGCAAUGUGUGCAGCCGUGAAGCCUCCGGGAUCUGGACCUCCCAUUACAGACUGGGUGAGUUGUUGUGAAGCAGCAGUUCCAAUGUAGAAUUGUGAUGUAGACUCUGACGCCGCCGCUAUUGGCGCGUCCUCACGCGUCCGUAUUGUGGCCGCACCAAACAUUUCCCUAGUCUUUCAAUUACGCAGUUGCGCUGAAAUAUCAAAGCUAAAGGCGUAUUGCCGCUGCAUAAAGCAUAAUC